AGAGUGAACGCUGGCGGUAGGCCUAACACAUGCAAGUCGAACGGCAGCACAGUGGUAGCAAUACCAUGGGUGGCGAGUGGCGGACGGGUGAGGAAUACAUCGGAAUCUACCUUUUCGUGGGGGAUAACGUAGGGAAACUUACGCUAAUACCGCAUACGCCCUUCGGGGGAAAGCCGGGGAUCGCAAGACCUGGCGCGGAUAGAUGAGCCGAUGUCGGAUUAGCUAGUUGGUGAGGUAAUGGCUCACCAAGGCGACGAUCCGUAGCUGGUCUGAGAGGAUGAUCAGCCACACUGGAACUGGAGACACGGU
rnacentral:rRNA from 1 species